rnacentral:siRNA from 1 species
UUGGCGGUACUGACGUGUGCCU